ACCUGGCUGGCUCAGUUGGAAGAGCAUGAGACUCUUGAUUUCAGGGUUGUGAGUUCGAGCCCCAUGUUGGGUG
rnacentral:tRNA from 1 species